CCAUGCUAAUCCAUCAAAAGAAUUCUAAAAAAAAUUCCUUUUAAUUUGCAAAUCCAUUAGUCUUCACCACAGCACUUGUUGCAAACUGGGGGAAUCACCUCUAUGUUGCAGUCACAGCAGAAUUUCGGGCAUUUGUUCGUGCAUGCUGCGAAUACAGAAAACUUACAAUGUCAAACAGCAAUAUAAGUAAAACCCUAACAAAUUUAAUACAGAUUUAUUUUUAUAUGCGCUGACAAGAAAAUAAUUUUUAAUAUUAUUGGUGUAUUUUAGUUUACGUUGUAGCUGCAGAUGACCUAUCUUUUUUUUGGAAAAUUAAAAAUGAAUUCUAUGUCAUAAACCAAUCCAAGUCAAGAAUAUUUGUCAUAAUUUCAUUUGAAAGCUAAUGGUUAAACAUCUGCUUGCUGCAAAGUUAAAAGAGACUGGACGGUACAAAUAGUUUACUUCCUCAAUUUCAUUUAGAUACUAAGUUUAAAAAAAGAAUAACUUUUUGGUCAUAUCAAAAGUAUCUUUAGAACUUGUGUUCUUCAAAUAUAUCAUAAUAUUUUGUGACUAUAAGAGCAUAUUAUUGAAGGUAAAAAGAAAAAAUUAAGGUUAAAUAGUUUCAAAAUAUAAAGUUCAUCUUGUGAAAAAGAUGAAUAACAUCGUUUAAAAUGAAAAUGAAAGAAUAGUACGGUAGACAAUAACAUCUAAUGCUCGUCCAUGCUGCAAACGGCUGACGACAAGCGGCUUUUGGGCAUUUGAUCCAGCUUCAACUAUACAAGUUAUGGAGGCCAACAGAACAAGAACAAAGGCGAAUGUUAUGAAUUUUGUCAUGGUUUCACGAAUCCAAUAAUAA
rnacentral:lncRNA from 1 species